UACAGAGGUCUCAGCGUUGUUCGGAUUCAUUGGGCGUAAAGGGUGCGUAGGCGGCGCGGUAAGUCGGGUGUGAAAUCUUGGAGCUUAACUCCGAAACUGCAUUCGAUACUGCCGUGCUUGAGGACUGGAGAGGAGACUGGAAUUUACGGUGUAGCGGUGAAAUGCGUAGAUAUCGUAAGGAAGACCAGUGGCGAAGGCGGGUCUCUGGACAGUUCCUGACGCUGAGGCACGGAAGGCC
rnacentral:rRNA from 1 species